rnacentral:rRNA from 1 species
UUCGGGGCACUAUGAGGGGCUCGCGGCCUAUCAGCUAGUUGGCGAGGUAAUGGCUCACCAAGGCUACGACGGGUAGCUGGUCUGAGAGGAUGGCCAGCCACAUUGGGACUGAGAGACGGCCCAGACUCCUACGGGAGGCAGCAGUGGGGAAUCUUGCGCAAUGGCCUAACGGCUGACGCAGCGACGCCGCGUGAGGGAUGACGCUCUUCGGAGUGUAAACCUCUUUUGCCUGGAACGAACUAUCAGCAUUCGCUGAUUUGACGGUACCGGGUGAAUAAGCACCGGCUAACUCCGUGCCAGCAGCCGCGGUAAUACGGGGGGUGCGAGCGUUGUCCGGAAUCACUGGGCGUAAAGGGCGCGUAGGUGGCAUGAUAAGGGUGUGGUGAAAGCCCGGGGCUCAACCCCGGGUCGGCCAUGCCGACUGUCACGCUGGAGUACUGUAGGGGCAGGCGGAAUUCCGGGUGUAGCGGUGGAAUGCGUAGAGAUCCGGAGGAAGACCGGUGGCGAAGGCGGCCUGCUGGGCAGUUACUGACACUGAGGCGCGACAGCGUGGGGAGCAAACAGGAUUAGAUACCCUGGUAGUCCACGCCGUAAACGAUGGGUACUAGGUGCCUGGGGGAGCGACCCCUUGGGUGCCGGCGCUAACGCAGGAAGUACCCCGCCUGGGGAGUACGGCCGCAAGGCUGAAACUCAAAGGAAUUGAC